UGAGGAAUAUUGGACAAUGGGUGGAAGCCUGAUCCAGCCAUCCCGCGUGAAGGAUGACGGUUCUAUGGAUUGUAAACUUCUUUUGUACAGGGAUAAACCUGCCCUCGUGAGGGCAGCUGAAGGUACUGUACGAAUAAGCACCGGCUAACUCCGUGCCAGCAGCCGCGGUAAUACGGAGGGUGCGAGCGUUAUCCGGAUUUAUUGGGUUUAAAGGGUCCGUAGGCGGGCCUGUAAGCCAGUGGUGAAAUCUCAUAGCUUAACUAUGAAACUGCCAUUGAUACUGCAGGCCUUGAGUAAAUUUGAAGUAGCUGGAAUAAGUAGUGUAGCGGUGAAAUGCAUAGAUAUUACUUAGAACACCGAUUGCGAAGGCAGGUCACUAAGAUUUAACUGACGCUGAUGGACGAAAGCGUGGGGAGCGAACA
rnacentral:rRNA from 1 species